CAGUAGCCGCGGGAAUACGUAGGGGGCUAGCGUUGUUCGGAAUUACUGGGCGUAAAGCGCACGUAGGCGGAUAUUUAAGUCAGGGGUGAAAUCCCAGAGCUCAACUCUGGAACUGCCUUUGAUACUGGGUAUCUUGAGUAUGGAAGAGGUGAGUGGAAUUCCGAGUGUAGAGGUGAAGUUCGUAGAUAUUCGGAGGAACACCAGUGGCGAAGGCGGCUCACUGGUCCAUUACUGACGCUGAGGUGCGAAAGCGUGGGGAGCAAACAGGAUUAGAUACCCCUGUAGUCCCUGUCUCUUAUAC
rnacentral:rRNA from 1 species